AGUGGCGGACGGGUGAGUAACACGUGAGAAUCUGGCUCUAGGUCGGGGACAACAGUUAGAAAUGACUGCUAAUACCGGAUGUGCCGGAAGGUAAAAGAUUUAUUGCCUGGAGAUGAGCUCGCGUCUGAUUGGCUAGUUGGUGGGGUAAGAGCCUACCAAGGCGACGAUCAGUAGCUGGUCUGAGAGGACGAUCAGCCACACUGGGACUGAGACACGGCCCAGACUCCUACGGGAGGCAGCAGUGGGGAAUUUUCCGCAAUGGGCGAAAGCCUGACGGAGCAAUACCGCGUGAGGGAGGAAGGCUCUUGGGUUGUAAACCUCUUUUCUCAAGGAAGAAGACAAUGACGGUACUUGAGGAAUAAGCAUCGGCUAACUCCGUGCCAGCAGCCGCGGUAAUACGGAGGAUGCAAGCGU
rnacentral:rRNA from 1 species